UAAUACGUAGGCAGCAAGCGUUGUUCGGAAUUACUGGGCGUAAAGCGUGUGUAGGCGGUGUCAUAAGUUUGGUGUGAAAUCUCCCGGCUUAACUGGGAGGGUGCGCCGAAGACUGUGAUGCUCGAGUGUGGGAGAGGUAAGCGGAAUUCCUGGUGUAGCGGUGAAAUGCGUAGAUAUCAGGAGGAACACCUGUGGUGUAGACGGCUUACUGGACCACGACUGACGCUGAGACACGAAAGUGUGGGGAGCAAACAGGAUUAGAUACCCUGGUAGUCCACACCCUAAACGAUGCAUACUUGGUGUGAGCCAUUCAUUUGGUUUGUGCCGGAGCUAACGCGUUAAGUAUGCCGCCUGGGGAGUACGGUCGCAAGGCUG
rnacentral:rRNA from 1 species